rnacentral:tRNA from 1 species
GGGGCCAUCGUCUAGUGGUUAGGACGCUAGGUUUUCAUCCUGGUAACAGGGGUUCGAUUCCCCUUGGCCCUACCA